UACGGGGGGGAGCAAGCGUUGUUCGGAUUUACUGGGCGUAAAGGGCGCGUAGGCGGCCACCGCAAGUCGACUGUGAAAUCUCCGGGCUUAACCCGGAAAGGUCAGCCGAUACUGCGGGGCUAGAGUGCAGAAGGGGCAACUGGAAUUCUCGGUGUAGCGGUGAAAUGCGUAGAUAUCGAGAGGAACACCUGCGGCGAAGGCGGCCGACUGGGCCGUUCCUGACGCUGAGACCCGAAAGCCAGGGUAGCGAACCGG
rnacentral:rRNA from 1 species